rnacentral:rRNA from 1 species
CUGCCAUGGGCAUCGCAGGGUAGCCAAGUCGCGAAGGGAUAACCGCUGAAAGCAUCUAAGUGGGAAACCCACCUCAAGAUGAGUUCUCCCCUCUAAGGAGAUAAGUCCCCUUGAAGAUGACAAGGUUGAUAGGCCGGAUGUGGAAGCACGGUGACGUGUGGAGCUAACCGGUACUAAUCGGACGAAGACUUGAUACACAA